GAACCUUUCAAUGUGGAGCCACCACGCUCUGCACUGACAUGCUCGUACGCUACUCCUUCAAAUUUGUUUUACAAGAGGAACCAUGGCCCAAUUCCCAUCGUUGAAGAUAUUGAAAGGUACUCCGUUUUGGUGGAAAAGCCCAAACAGCUUUUCAUGAAAGAUAUCAGGAUAUUGCCCAAGUAUAAUGUCACUACCACUUUACAGGAUUGAAAGCAAAAUGGAAAGUUUCCACAAGACAAAGGAUGAAGUGCCUUCUGUACAAAUAUCUCAACUAAUUUAUCUACAUACUAAUAGCAUGAUCUACAUCUCAUUCAAGCGAGAAUCGAUGCUUAAAAACUCAUCCUUACUGCACAGAAUUGUGAGACCACCCAUUGGAUGAUCGUAUCCAUAUUCUUCUUCAACUUGACUCAACAAUUCUCGAAGUAAAGGUUGGUUCAAGUAUGAUAUCGGAAUCUCGAACCGCCUCAUGUUGUCUCCAACAUAGACUGCAAGGUAGCCUUAUGGUACUUCAAGCCCCUUGAAAAUUGUUUUUGCAUGCGGAAACCCACAUUGUAUUGAUUUUCAAAGAAUUUGUAUGAGAAAUAAGUAUUUGAGUUAGGAUACUUGAUCCAUAUUAGGUUGAAAAAUAUAGGUAAAAAAAUUAUAAAAAUAUU